rnacentral:rRNA from 1 species
CCUACGGGUGGCACCAGUGGGGAAUAUUGCACAAUGGGCGCAAGCCUGAUGCAGCCAAGCCGCGUGUAUGAAGAAGGCCUUCGGGUUGUAAAGUACUUUCAGCGGGGAGGAAGGCGAUAAGGUUAAUAACCUUGUCGAUUGACGUUACCCGCAGAAGAAGCACCGGCUAACUCCGUGCCAGCAGCCGCGGUAAUACGAAGGGUGCAAGCAUUAAUCGGAAUUACUGGGCGUAAAGCGCACGCAGGCGGUCUGUCAAGUCGGAUGUGAAAUCCCCGGGCUCAACCUGGGAACUGCAUUCGAAACUGGCAGGCUAGAGGCUUGUAGAGGGGGGUAGAAUUCCAGGUGUAGCGGUGAAAUGCGUAGAGAUCUGGAGGAAUACCGGUGGCGAUGGCGGCCCCCUGGACAAAGACUGACGCUCAGGUGCGAAAGCGUGGGGAGCAAACAGGAUUAGAUACCCUAGUAGUC